rnacentral:rRNA from 1 species
GCGGCGGACGGGUGAGUAACGCGUGGGUAACCUACCCCAAAGUCCGGGAUAACAGCGGGAAACCGCUGCUAAUACCGGAUGUCUUUACCUUGGGGCAUCUUGAGGUAAAGAAAGGUAACGCUUUGGGAUGGGCCCGCGUCCCAUUAGCUAGUUGGUGAGGUAACGGCUCACCAAGGCGACGAUGGGUAGCCGGCCUGAGAGGGUGGACGGCCACACUGGGACUGAGACACGGCCCAGACUCCUACGGGAGGCAGCAGUAGGGAAUAUUGCGCAAUGGACGGAAGUCUGACGCAGCGACGCCGCGUGAGCGAUGAAGGUCUUCGGAUCGUAAAGCUCUGUCCUUGGGGAAGAAGGCGAAAGCUUGACGGUACCCAAGAAGAAAGCCCCGGCUAACUACGUGCCAGCAGCCGCGGUAAUACGUAGGGGGCGAGCGUUGUCCGGAAUUACUGGGCGUAAAGGGUGCGUAGGCGGCCCUUUAAGUCGGAUGUGAAAGCCCGCG